CUUUGGUAAGCCGGGGUCUUGAAGAAGGCAUUGAUUCCGGCCACCAACUGGGACUUGAGAACACCGGCCCCAAAACUCCCUACGUGGAAGUGGCACGCCAAGUUGGGGGGAACAUUAUUUNGGACCCAAUUGUGGGCGGAAAGGCCUUGGAUCCCAGCCAAUUGCCCGGCGUUGGUGUUGAAACGGAAGUGCCCCUUUUUGGNUUUGUUAAAACGCCAACUUUUUAAGGCGCAGUGAAGGGAGUGCUACACUAAUUUAACUUAAAUAACUUAACUUGGGAUUAAGGUUGGGAAACUCGUUUAACNUCGGCCAGGAAAUUAAAAGGCCACACCCGGGGCUUAAACUUUCUGGUUGGCCCAAGCCAAGCCCAGCCGGGUAACUUACCACGGAAGCGGGGUUGCGAAGGCNGGUUAAAUUCCGGGAAUUUUUAACUUGGGGCCCCGNUAAAAGGCGUUGGACAGNU
rnacentral:rRNA from 1 species